GACGAACGCUGGCGGCGUGCUUAACACAUGCAAGUCGAACGGAAAGGCCCUGCUUUUGUGGGGUGCUCGAGUGGCGAACGGGUGAGUAACACGUGAGUAACCUGCCCUUGACUUUGGGAUAACUUCAGGAAACUGGGGCUAAUACCGGAUAGGGGCUCCUGCUGCAUGGUGGGGGUUGGAAAGUUUCGGCGGUUGGGGAUGGACUCGCGGCUUAUCAGCUUGUUGGUGGGGUAGUGGCUUACCAAGGCUUUGACGGGUAGCCGGCCUGAGAGGGUGACCGGCCACAUUGGGACUGAGAUACGGCCCAGACUCCUACGGGAGGCAGCAGUGGGGAAUAUUGCACAAUGGGCGGAAGCCUGAUGCAGCAACGCCGCGUGCGGGAUGACGGCCUUCGGGUUGUAAACCGCUUUCGCCUGUGACGAAGCGUGAGUGACGGUAAUGGGCAAAGAAGCACCGGCUAACUACGUG
rnacentral:rRNA from 1 species